rnacentral:rRNA from 1 species
UGGGGAAUAUUGGACAAUGGGCGAAAGCCUGAUCCAGCCAUGCCGCGUGUGUGAAGAAGGUCUUCGGGUUGUAAAGCACUUUAAGUUGGGAGGAAGGGCAUUAACCUAAUACGUUAGUGUUUUGACGUUACCGACAGAAUAAGCACCGGCUAACUCUGUGCCAGCAGCCGCGGUAAUACAGAGGGUGCAAGCGUUAAUCGGAAUUAAUGGGCGUAAAGCGCGCGUAGGUGGUUUGUUAAGUUGGAUGUGAAAUCCCCGGGCUCAACCUGGGAACUGCAUUCAAAACUGACUGACUAGAGUAUGGUAGAGGGUGGUGGAAUUUCCUGUGUAGCGGUGAAAUGCGUAGAUAUAGGAAGGAACACCAGUGGCGAAGGCGACCACCUGGACUAAUACUGACACUGAGGUGCGAAAGCGUGGGGAGCAAACA